rnacentral:rRNA from 1 species
UGAAUAUACCGGUUCUCGUUAGAUCACCGAAGUUAAGCAUCAUUGGGCGCGGUCAGUACUUGGGUGGGUGACCACCUGGGAACACCGCGUGCCGUU